rnacentral:rRNA from 1 species
UGCAGUCGAGCGGAACGAGAAUAGCUUGCUAUUCGGCGUCGAGCGGCGGACGGGUGANUAAUGCUUGGGAAUAUGCCUUUGAGUGGGGGACAACAGUUGGAAACGACUGCUAAUACCGCAUAACGUCUACGGACCAAAGGGGGGGACGCUUCGGCACCUCUCGCUCAUUGAUUAGCCCAAGUGAGAUUAGCUAGUUGGUAAGGUAAUGGCUUACCAAGGCGACGAUCUCUAGCUGGUUUGAGAGGAUGAUCAGCCACACUGGGACUGAGACACGGCCCAGACUCCUACGGGAGGCAGCAGUGGGGAAUAUUGCACAAUGGGCGAAAGCCUGAUGCAGCCAUGCCGCGUGUGUGAAGAAGGCCUUCGGGUUGUAAAGCACUUUCAGCGAGGAGGAAAGGUUAGUAGUUAAUAACUGCUAGCUGUGACGUUACUCGCAGAAGAAGCACCGGCUAACUUCGUGCCAGCAGCCGCGGUAAUACGAGGGGUGCAAGCGUUAAUCGGAAUUACUGGGCGUAAAGCGUGCGUANGUGGUUUGUUAAGCAAGAUGUGAAAGCCCUGGGCUCAACCUGGGAACUGCAUUUUGAACUGGCAAGCUAGAGUUUUGUAGAGGGUAGUGGAAUUUCCAGUGUAGCGGUGAAAUGCGUAGAGAUUGGAAGGAACAUCAGUGGCGAAGGCGGCUACCUGGACAAAGACUGACACUGAGGCACGAAAGNGUGGGGAGCAAACAGGAUUAGAUACCCUGGUAGUCCACGCCGUAAACGAUGUCAACUAGCCGUCUGUAGACUUGAUCUGUGGGUGG